rnacentral:rRNA from 1 species
CUGAGACACGGUCCAGACUCCUACGGGAGGCAGCAGUGGGGAAUAUUGCACAAUGGGCGCAAGCCUGAUGCAGCCAUGCCGCGUGUGUGAAGAAGGCCUUCGGGUUGUAAAGCACUUUCAGCGGGGAGGAAGGCGUUAAGGUUAAUAACCUUGGCGAUUGACGUUACCCGCAGAAGAAGCACCGGCUAACUCCGUGCCAGCAGCCGCGGUAAUACGGAGGGUGCAAGCGUUAAUCGGAAUUACUGGGCGUAAA